UUGCCAAUGAUGGUUAAGAAUUUCUUCACCUGAAUCAGCCGUGUGGUCAUUCUGUGUCUGAGGCAAA